AACGAACGCUGGCGGCAUGCCUAACACAUGCAAGUCGAACGAGACCUUCGGAUCUAGUGGCGCACGGGUGCGUAACACGUGGGAAUCUGCCCUUUGCUUCGGAAUAACAGUUAGAAAUGACUGCUAAUACCGGAUGAUGUCGAAAGACCAAAGAUUUAUCGGCAAAGGAUGAGCCCGCGUAGGAUUAGGUAGUUGGUGGGGUAAAGGCCUACCAAGCCGACGAUCCUUAGCUGGUCUGAGAGGAUGAUCAGCCACACUGGGACUGAGACACGGCCCAGACUCCUACGGGAGGCAGCAGUGGGGAAUAUUGGACAAUGGGCGAAAGCCUGAUCCAGCAAUGCCGCGUGAGUGAUGAAGGCCUUAGGGUUGUAAAGCUCUUUUACCAGGGAUGAUAAUGACAGUACCUGGAGAAUAAGCUCCGGCUAACUCCGUG
rnacentral:rRNA from 1 species